rnacentral:rRNA from 1 species
UACGUAGGCAGCGAGCGUUGUUCGGAGUUACUGGGCGUAAAGGGUGUGUAGGCGGCUGUUUAAGUUUGGUGUGAAAUCUCCCGGCUCAACUGGGAGGGUGCGCCGAAUACUGAAUGACUAGAGUGCGGGAGAGGUGAGUGGAAUUCCUGGUGUAGCGGUGAAAUGCGUAGAUAUCGGGAGGAACACCAGUGGCGAAGGCGACUACCUGGCCUGUUCUUGACGCUGAGGCGCGAAAGCUAGGGGAGCAAACGGG